CUGUGUCAACGCUGAUCGUGCCAAUCAGUAGCCGUUCACGAGGCGUUUUGACGUCGGCACAUUGUUGGUGUUGGCUUAGAAAAACCUUUCUUGUACUCAAGUGACUGUUUGUGAAUCGUGUUCAAGUCAAAUUUUGUGUUGGAAAUUUUAUAAGUUAGUGAAUUUUAUAAAUUACGAAAAAUAUGGAGGAAAUUUUAUCUGCAAAUCAAUUGAAUCCGCAAGGCGUAUUUAAGAGACGCCACCGCCGUUAAGCCGCCGCCAAGCAAGCCUACAAUGGAUUUGCCAGAACAACAACAACAACAAAACCCACAUACACACGACUAGUAAUGUGUGUGAGCUGCGCUCAUAUCUGCCGUGGUAGCAGCGCUUUAGAAAAAAUGCCGAAUUCCAGAAGCGACUACUAAACAAUCAAUUGGAUUACAAAAAUAGUACGCUUAGGCGACGAUAUUAUCAGUAUUGCGAGCAAGCACUGCAGCUGGACGCUGGACGUAGGGAAAUGUGUGGCCAAGCAAGCAUAAGAAGAAGAAGAAGCGGAGGAACAGUGGGCGCAGCAUGCAACUAAGUAGACGAUGAGGUUGACUAUUGAAAUUAAGAGGGCAUAAGUUGAGCUGAACCACCGCGACGGGUGACACACACACACACACACUCGCGCGCAUAUGUUGCUAUGUGUGCACGCGCGCGCGUUACCUUUGAAGCGCGACGCAUAACAAAGCGCAAGGUAAGGAGAUGAGCAGUCAACGCGCAACGCGUUGUGCUACCGCGUGCGCGCACCCGUCCGCCGCCUAUGCCGCUGUAUAUACACAAACGUAACGAAGUAACGAAAUAUUUCUGUGGUACGCGCCCGCAAAACUGCACAAAGGUGAAUACAAUGCGGAAUGCUUUCUAAGAUUCUUGUCGUGGCUGAGUAAAUGCAUUUCGAAUAUUCGUUGUUGGCGGCAUUGGCGCAAUAAGCAACAAUUGCGCAGCGCUGACUGGCUAACUGCCGCGCUGGCAGGCAGAUGAGUCAACAGUAUCAACAGCAGCAACAACAACAACAACAGCAACAACAAUAGCAUAAAGGCACGUAGCUGCCGUAGUGGUCGAAAAAUCAUACGCCUAGUCAAAGGAUAAUGCUUUUCGGUGGCGAUGGUGGCGGCGGCCAGCAAACGCGUGCCGUUGUUUUUCAAAUGCUUUGGAUGCUGCCGCCAACGCCGCCGCCGUCAUCGCGUUCGCUAACUGCCACGCAAUUAAAUUUACGAAUGCUGCCAAUGUAAAAGCGCACGUGGUCACCAAAUAGUCGAGAGGCCUUAUGCACUAAAAACGUACGAAAUUAACGAAAAAGCAAUGAAAUGCCACAGGGCGCGGGGGCGCGUCGGCGCUUGAUACGCAAUGCAAGUCGCGCUGCUGCUGCUGCUUAUAUGAAAAGGGCGCGCAUGUGAAGGCGGUCAGCUGAAGGUUGGUUGUAGGGCGUGUGCAGGAAGUUUAGCCGCGCAAUGCAUAGACAUACAAACGCGCAUAUAUUUAUUGAAUGUGUGUAUGUGUGGGUGUGCGCAACGUCAUGCGAAUUAGCUGCAGCUGCGCGGUGUAAGUUCAAUGCUUCCGCGCAUAGAUAAAACAAAUGGCGGUUGACUUCAAAUUGCAGCGGCAUAUACUACACUACUACUACACUCUCGCACACACACUACUAUAUACUAUACACAUGCACAUAUCUAUGAGUUUAUGGAAAACGUUUAUGGCGGCUGCGCGCAAACUUUCAA